rnacentral:ncRNA from 14 species
AUGUAGCAUCCUUUUUCCGGUCCUGUGAGUUAAAAGGGAACCCAGUGCAAAUCUGGGGCUGACGCGCAGCGGUAAGGAUAAAGGUGAGAGGCCAGACACUGCCUGCGGGUGGGAAGUCGCCUUUCGUAGUACCUCCGAGCCCGAAGACCUGCCGGCAUACGUCGCAUCUGG